AUCGCAUUGUGGCUCAGCAGAUGUCUAAACCUUAAGGGAAAAAUGAAUUCCAAGUGUCUGUCAUCCACUUUUUCACUACAGGAUGGAAGUUCCACUGCUCAAAAUUACUCCUGAAGGGAUGAGGACACCAGGAUAUGCCACUGGACCACUGAAGGGGCUCUUACUGGCAUAGAAAAUGGUUGUCAAGAAUUCAAAACCAUCACAAGUCAUAAGAAAUUAUAUGAAUGGUGAUGGUAUGAAGAAAGUAUUUUUAAUGAGCAGAGCCAUUGUUUGCUCUGCUCUGUCCUCACCCCUCAAGAGAAUUUCCCUUAUUAUUAUGAAAACUUUUUAUCUUAAAAGAUAUUACAUGUUAAUGGAACUGUCGUUUAACAAAUGUUUUAUAAGUGUACCAAUCAA